GCUCAGGACGAACGCUGGCGGCGUGCUUAACACAUGCAAGUCGAACGAUGAUGCCCAGCUUGCUGGGUGGAGUAGUCGCGCACGGAUGAGUAACACGUGAGUAACCUGCCCCUGACUCUGCGAUAAGCGUAGGAAACGACGUCUAAUACUGGAUACGACUGCCGGCCGCAUGGUCUGGUGGUGGAGAGAUUUUUUGGUUGGGGAUGGACUCGCGGCCUAUCAGCUUGUUGGUGAGGUAAUGGCUCACCAAGGCGACGACGGGUAGCCGGCCUGAGAGGGUGACCGGCCACACUGGGACUGAGACACGGCCCAGACUCCUACGGGAGGCAGCAGUGGGGAAUAUUGCACAAUGGGCGAAAGCCUGAUGCAGCAACGCCGCGUGAGGGAUGACGGCCUUCGGGUUGUAAACCUCUUUUAGUAGGGAAGAAGCGAAAGUGACGGUACCUGCAGAAAAAGCACCGGCUAACUACGUGCCAGCAGCCGCGGUAAUACGUAGGGUGCCAGCGUUGUCCGGAAUUAUUGGGCGUAAAGAGCUGGUCGGCGGUUUUUCGCGUUUGCUGUGAAAUCCCGAGGCUCAACCUCGGGCUUGCAGUGGGUACGGGCAGACUAGAGUGCGGUAGGGGAGAUUGGAAUUCCUGGUGUAGCGGUGGAAUGCGCAGAUAUCAGGAGGAACACCGAUGGCGAAGGCAGAUCUCUGGGCCGUAACUGACGCUGAGGAGCGAAAGCGUGGGGAGCGAACAGGAUUAGAUACCCUGGUAGUCCACGCCGUAAACGUUGGGCGCUAGAUGUAGGGACCGUUCCACGGUUUCUGUGUCGUAGCUAACGCAU
rnacentral:rRNA from 1 species